rnacentral:rRNA from 1 species
AGUGAACGCUGGCGGUAGGCCUAACACAUGCAAGUCGAACGGCAGCACAAUAAGAGCUUGCUCUUACGGGUGGCGAGUGGCGGACGGGUGAGGAAUACAUCGGAAUCUACUUUUUCGUGGGGGAUAACGUAGGGAAACUUACGCUAAUACCGCAUACGACCUACGGGUGAAAGCAGGGGAUCUUCGGACCUUGCGCGAUUGAAUGAGCCGAUGUCGGAUUAGCUAGUUGGCGGGGUAAAGGCCCACCAAGGCGACGAUCCGUAGCCGGUCUGAGAGGAUGAUCAGCCACACUGGAACUGAGACACGGUCCAGACUCCUACGGGAGGCAGCAGUGGGGAAUAUUGGACAAAGGGCGCAAGCCUGAUCCAGCCAUACCGCGUGGGUGAAGAAGGCCUUCGGGUUGUAAAGCCCUUUUGUUGGGAAAGAAAAGCAGCAGGUUAAUACCCCGCUGUUCUGACGGUACCCAAAGAAUAAGCACCGGCUAACUUCGUG